rnacentral:antisense_RNA from 1 species
ACUGACAUCAAUGAUUCGUUCUUCGAACCCUGACCCACGGCAAGAUAGGCAUUCAUGCCCAGCUCUUUCAUCUGCUGUUCGCCGAUGACGCGGGUCGUGAUGUUAGUGCUGAAUGCAUCCGCCAACUGACGUGCCUGAGAGGCGAGAUAAGCCGCAUUACAGAUGUUUGGCGGCAUAUUACUGAGAUCUUUGG